rnacentral:rRNA from 1 species
GACGAACGCUGGCGGCAUGCCUAAUACAUGCAAGUCGAGCGAACAGAUGAAGUGCUUGCACUUCUGACGUUAGCGGCGAACGGGUGAGUAACACGUAAGGAAUCUACCUAUAAGCGGGGGAUAACAUUCGGAAACGGGUGCUAAUACCGCAUAAUAUUUUCUUCCGCAUGGAAGAAAAUUGAAAGACGGCUCUGCUGUCACUUAUAGAUGACCUUGCGGUGCAUUAGUUAGUUGGUGGGGUAACGGCCUACCAAGACGAUGAUGCAUAGCCGACCUGAGAGGGUGAUCGGCCACAUUGGGACUGAGACACGGCCCAAACUCCUACGGGAGGCAGCAGUAGGGAAUCUUCCGCAAUGGGCGAAAGCCUGACGGAGCAAUGCCGCGUGAGUGAAGAAGGCCUUCGGGUCGUAAAACUCUGUUAUAAGAGAAGAACAAAUUGUAGAGUAACUGCUACAGUCUUGACGGUAUCUUAUCAGAAAGCCACGGCUAACUACGUGCCAGCCGCCGCUGUAA